rnacentral:rRNA from 1 species
CCUACGGGAGGCAGCAGUGAGGAAUAUUGGUCAAUGGACGAGAGUCUGAACCAGCCAAGUAGCGUGAAGGAUGACUGCCCUAUGGGUUGUAAACUUCUUUUAUAUGGGAGUAAAAUGUUCCACGUGUGGGAUUUUGUAUGUACCAUAUGAAUAAGGAUCGGCUAACUCCGUUCCAGCAGCCGCGGUAAUACGGAGGAUCCGAGCGUUAUCCGGAUUUAUUGGGUGUAAAGGGAGCGUAGGUGGAUUGUUAAGUCAGUUGUGAAAGUUUGCGGCUCAACCGUAAAAUUGCAGUUGAAACUGGCAGUCUUGAGUACAGGAGAGGUAGGCGGAAUUCGUGGUGUAGCGGUGAAAUGCUUAGAUAUCACGAAGAACUCCGAUUGCGAAGGCAGCUUACUGGACUGCAACUGACACUGAGGCUCGAAAGUGUGGGUAUCAAACAGGAUUAGAUACCCUAGUAGUC